UACGGGGGGGGCAAGCGUUGUUCGGAAUUACUGGGCGUAAAGGGCUCGUAGGCGGCCAACUAAGUCGGAUGUGAAAUCCCCAGGCUCAACUUGGGAACUGCAUCCGAUACUGGAUGGCUUGAAUUCGGGAGAGGGAUGCAGAAUUCCAGGUGUAGCGGUGAAAUGCGUAGAUAUCAGGAGGAAUACCGAUGGCGAAGGCAGGUCUCUGGGCUGACACUGACGCUCAUGCACGAAAGCGUGGGGAGCAAACAGG
rnacentral:rRNA from 1 species